rnacentral:rRNA from 1 species
UGCCGGGCACUCUAGAGGGACUGCCGGGGAUAGGACCCGGAGGAAGGUGGGAUGACGUACAAUCCUCAUGCCCCUUAUGUCCCGGGCUACACACGUGCUACAAUGGCCCGUACAGAGGGCAGCGAACCAGCGAUGGGGAGCGAAUCCCACAAAACGGGUCUCAGUUCGGAUUGCAGGCUGCAACUCGCCUGCAUGAAGUCGGAAUCGCUAGUAAUCGCAGGUCAGCAUACUGCGGUGAAUACGUUCCCGGGCCUU